UAUUUGAACCAGGUUUGAUCUUUAUUUCCCGUUUUAUCAUUCAUGCCCUGACUUUUGCAUAAGAUUUUUCAUUUUUAAUUCAUUUCAGUACUUGGUGUUAUCAAAGAGGAUUGGAUAUAUUGGAUAUAAGCAUUGGGCCUAUACUUGCUGCAGUUAAGAAGGAUGUGGGGGAAUCUCGUUGAAACGUACUCUAUAGUGAAAGGCCUGGAUAGAGUGAAAAUGGAGAGGGUGUUUCCACUAGUGGGAGAGUCUAGGAUCAGGGGCCAUAGUCUCAGAAUGAAAGGACGUACCUGAGGAGGAAUUUAUUUAGUCAGAGGGUGGUGCAUCUAUGGAAUUCAUUGCCACAGAUGGCUGUGGAGGCCAAUUUUGGGGUAUUUUUAGAGCACAGAUUGACAGAUUCUUGGUUAGUAUGGGUGUCAGGGGUUACGGGGAGAAGGCAGGAGAAUGGGGUUGAGAGGGAAAAAUAGAUCAGCCAUGAUUGAAUGGCAGAGUAGACUUGAUGGGUCGAAUGGCCUACUUCUGCUCCUAUAACUCUUGAACUUAUAUCACAUAGGGAGAUGUUUGACAGAACGAAUAUACCAUCUGAUUAAACUCGUGAAAUUAAAUCUUUGGCAGAGAAUUCAUCGAUAGAGCAUCACGCCAGUCGUCUUUGUGUGAAAAUCAUUGCUUGAUUCACUUUCCAAAUGAUUUUGGCGAACAAAUGAGUCUUUCGUUUCUAUCAAACUGAAAUGAAAAUCUCAGAAUAUAAUGAAAUUUAGUAAGUUCCCUCCUCAGCACUGAUUGAUCACUGGGCUUAACAGGAAUUUCAGUAAAUCUUCCAUUUGAUUGACCCACCUAAUGUGCCAGUAUUGAUUGAAACAAAUAAAUUACUAAUUAAGCUGCUCUACCAAAGUCACGCUCUGUCAAAUAUUGUCUGAGUUUUGCCAUCCAGCUUGGAAUCAUGCAAGGUAAAGGCACAAUUUUACUUCGAAGUCACGUGAGUGACUACGUGAAGAAGGGCCGUCCGUCUGCGUGCGCGUCAUUACGUCUGAACGCAACACGCACGACGGACUGGCAGGCAUUGAGCCUCCCAGGCCGUCGGGAUGAGCAGGCACCAGAAGACAAACCAUCUGGUUCUCCUGCACUUUAUUGCCUAUAAUUUAACUAUCGACACUCAGCUAAAGUGAAGUUGAGAAUUAAACUUCAGUUCAAGAGGAAUUCACCGUAAAGUCCCAUUUAGCCAAUUAACCUACAAACAUGCACGUCUUUCGAAUGUGGGAGAAACACGGAGAACUGUGUAAAAAGACCAAGUUUGAUCUCUGCAAGGCUUCAGGGUUACCAAGACGGACUUACAAAAGAAGUUGGAUGCUCAGUUUAAUCAAAAGGAUGCCAGGCAACUGUGGCAGUGCCUGAAUACCAUUGCGGGCUGCAAGCUGAAGACAGGGAUGCUCUAUGGCAAUCAUGCUUCUUCCCUAAUGCAUUUUGAACAGGCAAGCUGCACCUCAGCACAUUCCCUCAUCCCCCACUGUGGGGAAGAAGCUGUCCCUCAGGAAGAUUGGAAGUAUUGUUAAGGAUGCCUGUUGCAAGGACCAUUCCAUUUUCUCACUUCUACUUCUGGGAGAAGAUACAGGAACUUGACAGCUUGGACAUCCAGAGUUAGGAACAGGUUCUUCCCCACUCCUGAAUCAAUAACUUAUUUCACACCCAAUUCCCGGAAAGGCAGUUAUGUACUCUUACCUCGAUCUCAUUGGUUAUCCCAUUUUUGUACUUACAUCUUUUUUCCACUACUUGAAUUUUGCUCUACAAUCUUGCACCAUUCUGUUGUUUUGAAGUCAUCGUUGUAUUUAUUGCUGUAUUUAUCAUCUGCAGUUCAUUAUUCCUGUAUUUGGGAAGAGCCUUAUUAUUGAAAUAGAGGCAGAUUGUUCUAAUAACUAGGAAGUGUUUGAGUUAGACUUCUGAAGCACUUUUUCCAAAACUAGUAUCUCUCACCUCUGUGACAAGAACAACUUGUGUACAGUCAUAAAAAUUGUUGUUUACUGUUAUUAUUAUUUAAGAAUGAAUAAAUGUGAUCUCACAUUGUUGAAAAUAACAUCAACUAUAUCUUCCAAAUUGGCAUGUUUGUAGGUUGGCCGUUCCACGCAGGAACAAUAAUAAAA